CUCCCCUCUUUCAUCAUGGGGAGACUAGAAUAAUGGAGAGGAGGGUUAAAAUGGUCAGAGCCACAGAAAAUGUUAAUUAGAUAUGAGGUACACCAGGGAAAUGUAAAGGAUUGCAGAGGAGAAGGAAGGCAGAGUCCUAUCCAGAGCUAGUCAGAGGCACAAAUCUAUUUUCAAGAGUUCGACAGGAAGUGCUCACUACCAAAUCUCAUGUGGAUUCUGCAGAGCUUUUAUUCAGAGCCCUAAGACUCAUACUACAACUUUUUUACCUGGCUCUGAUGCUCUCAAAAUGUUUUGAUGAGAGAGAGAAAAUAGCUUCUGGUGUGAAAAGGACAGACCUUGAUCUACAGUUCAAGGACCUUGAAAUUCAGUCUCUGGGAGACCAUGCCAACUCUGUAACCUCACUGGUCCUUAAUGUGGCCAUCUGUGAAAUGGGGCGGAUAAAAUUGAACUACAGAACCUCUUUGGCGAUAAUGAGCUUCAAUCAGCGCUUGCAAAUGCCCAGUUAUGGGUCCCUCUCCAGGGAGUUGCACUCAGAAAGCUCACAUGGGGGCUUGGAGCUGCUCAUUUUCAGGAGAGCAAGCAGAGGAAAACAGAACACCUGGUUAAUGGGGAGACUUUUCCCAGCGACGGGAGGUGAAAGACUUCUAAAAGUGCAACACAAAGGAGGCACAUGUCAAUGGUGGAUGGAAGGGAGAAAGGCAACAACAAGGAUUAACACCUUCAAAUUCAU
rnacentral:lncRNA from 9 species